rnacentral:rRNA from 1 species
UACGUAGGGGGCGAGCGUUGUCCGGAAUCAUCGGGCGUAAAGCGCGUGUAGGCGGCCCGGUAAGUCCGCUGUGAAAGUCCAGGGCUCAACCCUGGGAUGCCGGUGGAUACUGUCGGGCUCGAGUCCGGAAGAGGCGAGUGGAAUUCCUGGUGUAGCGGUGAAAUGCGCAGAUAUCAGGAGGAACACCAAUGGCGAAGGCAGCUCGCUGGGACGUUACUGACGCUGAGACGCGAAAGCGUGGGGAGCAAACAGG